UUAGUUUCGUUACAAGAAAUCCGAAACUAACAUAAGUGAUUACAGUGAAACAAAAAGUUAGCCCUUUAAAAUAUGUCAAAUCAACAAUAGAAUAUUAUGGGAGAUGAUUUUAAUAUUUGAGUUUUGAGUGUUGGGGAAGAACAAGAAAGUGAUUUAGGGAUUUGGAAAGUGAAAAAGUUAUUAGCUUUUAGGAAUGGGAGUAUGGGACCCUUGAAUUUUUUGGGUUUAACACCACAUUUUAGCACUUUUUAUUUAAAAAAAAAAAACAAAAAA
rnacentral:lncRNA from 1 species